rnacentral:rRNA from 1 species
GGUCAAGUGAAGAAGCGCAUACGGUGGAUGCCUUGGCAGUCAGAGGCGAUGAAAGACGUGGUAGCCUGCGAAAAGCUUCGGGGAGUCGGCAAACAGACUUUGAUCCGGAGAUGUCUGAAUGGGGGAACCCAGCCAUCAUAAGAUGGUUAUCUUACGCUGAAUACAUAGGCGUAAGAGGCGAACCAGGGGAACUGAAACAUCUAAGUACCCUGAGGAAAAGAAAUCAACCGAGAUUCCCUUAGUAGUGGCGAGCGAACGGGGACUAGCCCUUAAGUGGCUUUGAGAUUAGCGGAACGCUCUGGAAAGUGCGGCCAUAGUGGGUGAUAGCCCUGUACGCGAAAAUCUCUUAGUCAUGAAAUCGAGUAGGACGGAGCACGAGAAACUUUGUCUGAAUAUGGGGGGACCAUCCUCCAAGGCUAAAUACUACUGACUGACCGAUAGUGAACUAGUACCGUGAGGGAAAGGCGAAAAGAACCCCGGAGAGGGGAGUGAAAUAGAUCCUGAAACCGUAUGCGUACAAGCAGUGGGAGCCCACUUUGUUGGGUGACUGCGUACCUUUUGUAUAAUGGGUCAGCGACUUAUUUUCAGUGGCGAGCUUAACCGAAUAGGGGAGGCGUAGCGAAAGCGAGUCUUAAUAGGGCGUCUAGUCGCUGGGAAUAGACCCGAAACCGGGCGAUCUAUCCAUGGGCAGGUUGAAGGUUGGGUAACACUAACUGGAGGACCGAACCGACUACCGUUGAAAAGUUAGCGGAUGACCUGUGGAUCGGAGUGAAAGGCUAAUCAAGCUCGGAGAUAGCUGGUUCUCCUCGAAAGCUAUUUAGGUAGCGCCUCAUGUAUCACUGUAGGGGGUAGAGCACUGUUUCGGCUAGGGGGUCAUCCCGACUUACCAAACCGAUGCAAACUCCGAAUACCUACAAGUGCCGAGCAUGGGAGACACACGGCGGGUGCUAACGUCCGUCGUGAAAAGGGAAACAACCCAGACCGUCAGCUAAGGUCCCAAAGUUAUGGUUAAGUGGGAAACGAUGUGGGAAGGCUUAGACAGCUAGGAGGUUGGCUUAGAAGCAGCCACCCUUUAAAGAAAGCGUAAUAGCUCACUAGUCGAGUCGGCCUGCGCGGAAGAUGUAACGGGGCUCAAACCAUACACCGAAGCUACGGGUAUCACGUAAGUGAUGCGGUAGAGGAGCGUUCUGUAAGCCUGUGAAGGUGAGUUGAGAAGCUUGCUGGAGGUAUCAGAAGUGCGAAUGCUGACAUGAGUAACGACAAUGGGUGUGAAAAACACCCACGCCGAAAGACCAAGGUUUCCUGCGCAACGUUAAUCGACGCAGGGUUAGUCGGUCCCUAAGGCGAGGCUGAAAAGCGUAGUCGAUGGAAAACAGGUUAAUAUUCCUGUACUUCUGGUUAUUGCGAUGGAGGGACGGAGAAGGCUAGGCCAGCUUGGCGUUGGUUGUCCAAGUUUAAGGUGGUAGGCUGGAAUCUUAGGUAAAUCCGGGAUUCUAAGGCCGAGAGCUGAUGACGAGUCAUCUUUUAGAUGACGAAGUGGUUGAUGCCAUGCUUCCAAGAAAAGCUUCUAAGCUUCAGGUAACCAGGAACCGUACCCCAAACCGACACAGGUGGUUGGGUAGAGAAUACCAAGGCGCUUGAGAGAACUCGGGUGAAGGAACUAGGCAAAAUGGCACCGUAACUUCGGGAGAAGGUGCGCCGGUGAGGGUGAAGGACUUGCUCCGUAAGCUCAUGCCGGUCGAAGAUACCAGGCCGCUGCGACUGUUUAUUAAAAACACAGCACUCUGCAAACACGAAAGUGGACGUAUAGGGUGUGACGCCUGCCCGGUGCCGGAAGGUUAAUUGAUGGGGUUAGCUAACGCGAAGCUCUUGAUCGAAGCCCCGGUAAACGGCGGCCGUAACUAUAACGGUCCUAAGGUAGCGAAAUUCCUUGUCGGGUAAGUUCCGACCUGCACGAAUGGCGUAACGAUGGCGGCGCUGUCUCCACCCGAGACUCAGUGAAAUUGAAAUCGCUGUGAAGAUGCAGUGUAUCCGCGGCUAGACGGAAAGACCCCGUGAACCUUUACUAUAGCUUUGCACUGGACUUUGAAUUUGCUUGUGUAGGAUAGGUGGGAGGCUUUGAAGCGUGGACGCCAGUCUGCGUGGAGCCAACCUUGAAAUACCACCCUGGCAACUUUGAGGUUCUAACUCAGGUCCGUUAUCCGGAUCGAGGACAGUGUAUGGUGGGUAGUUUGACUGGGGCGGUCUCCUCCUAAAGAGUAACGGAGGAGUACGAAGGUGCGCUCAGACCGGUCGGAAAUCGGUCGUAGAGUAUAAAGGCAAAAGCGCGCUUGACUGCGAGACAGACACGUCGAGCAGGUACGAAAGUAGGUCUUAGUGAUCCGGUGGUUCUGUAUGGAAGGGCCAUCGCUCAACGGAUAAAAGGUACUCCGGGGAUAACAGGCUGAUACCGCCCAAGAGUUCAUAUCGACGGCGGUGUUUGGCACCUCGAUGUCGGCUCAUCACAUCCUGGGGCUGAAGCCGGUCCCAAGGGUAUGGCUGUUCGCCAUUUAAAGUGGUACGCGAGCUGGGUUUAGAACGUCGUGAGACAGUUCGGUCCCUAUCUGCCGUGGACGUUUGAGAUUUGAGAGGGGCUGCUCCUAGUACGAGAGGACCGGAGUGGACGAACCUCUGGUGUUCCGGUUGUCACGCCAGUGGCAUUGCCGGGUAGCUAUGUUCGGAAUAGAUAACCGCUGAAAGCAUCUAAGCGGGAAACUAGCCUCAAGAUGAGAUCUCACUGGAACCUUGAGUUCCCUGAAGGGCCGUCGAAGACUACGACGUUGAUAGGUUGGGUGUGUAAGCGCUGUGAGGCGUUGAGCUAACCAAUACUAAUUGCCCGUGAGGCUUGACCAU